UACGAACCGUCCAAACGUUUACUCGGAAUCACUGGGCUUAAAGGGUGCGUAGGCCGGCGCGGAGGGUGGGAUGUGAAAUCCCCCGGCUCAACCGGGGAAUAGCGUCCCAAACCGCCGUGCUCGAGGGAGACAGAGGUGAGCGGAACUGAUGGUGGAGCGGUGAAAUGCGUUGAUAUCAUCAAGGAACACCCAGUGGCGAAAGCGGCUCACUGGGUCUUUCCUAACGCUGAGGCACGAAAGCUAGGGGAGCGAAACGGGAUUGAGAAACCCG
rnacentral:rRNA from 1 species